rnacentral:tRNA from 1 species
GUCUUUUUAGUACAAUAAGUAUUUACGGCUUCCAACCAUAAGACCUUGGUGAAAGCCCAAGAAAAGAUA